CCUACGGGUGGCAGCAGUGAGGAAUAUUGGACAAUGGGGGCAACCCUGAUGCAGCGAAGCCGCGUGAGUGAAGACGGCCUUCGGGGUGGAAAGCUCUUUCUCCGGGGGCGCAAAUGCCGCUACCCUGCGAGGAAGCUCCGGCUAACUACGGGCCAGCAGCCGCUGUAAUACUGAGGGAGCAAGCGGUGUACGGAAUUACUGGGUGUAAAGGGGGAGUAGGCGGGGGGAUAAGGUGAAUGUGAAAUCGAUGGGCUCAACCCAUAGCUGCGGUGGGAACUGUUGUUCUUGAGUGUACGAGAGGCAGGCGGAAUUCGUGGUGUAGCGGUGAAAUGCGUAGAUAUUAGGAGGAACACCAGUGGCGAAGGCGGCAUGCUGG
rnacentral:rRNA from 1 species